UUUUCUGAAUACUGGGCGGGGUUGCGCGGUUAGCCCACUGGGCUAAACAGCUCAACUGUGCCCAUAUGCACUCAAGAGGUAAGGGUAUUUCGUCGUCAGCGUUGCCGUAUAAGAGGACUCCGCCGAGCUGGCUCAAGAUCUCCUCUCAAGAUGUGGAAGAGAACAUCUGCAAGUUUGCGAAGAAGGGACUGACACCGUCGCAGAUUGGUGUCAUCCUCCGUGAUUCUCACGGAAUUGCACAGGUGAAGAGUGUUACUGGAAGCAAGAUCCUUCGCAUUCUCAAGGGUCAUGGGCUUGCUCCUGAGAUCCCAGAGGAUCUGUAUCACUUGAUCAAGAAGGCGGUGGCGAUCAGGAAGCACUUGGAGAGAAACAGGAAAGAUAAGGACUCUAAGUUCAGGCUUAUCCUUGUUGAGAGCAGGAUUCACCGUCUUGCUCGAUAUUACAAGAGGACCAAGAAGCUUCCUCCUGUCUGGAAAUAGUCCAAGACCUACCUGUCUUCAUACCUAAGACCCUACUAUCUGUCUCCAUAUCUGACACCUAAUUAGCUCAAUGUCUGAGACCUAACUGUCUCCAUGUUUGAGACCAAAGAUGUACAUUUUCUAGGUGCAGAAGACAAAUUAAAAUUGGUUACUCCGUGGUCCACCUCCUUCGAUCUCUUCCUCCUUCAUCAAUCUCAUCGAGCUCCUCGAGCUCUUUCUCCUCCUCCUCUUCGUAUUAUUAAAGUUCUCAUGGCUUCCUCUUCUUCUUCCAGAAGGAGCGGGGGAGGUCGAGGUCGCGGCGGCAGCGGCGGCGCUGUCGGGUCUGAUCGGAUUGAUGCGCUUGGAAGACUGCUG